rnacentral:lncRNA from 1 species
CAGCGGGUGGGGCUAUUGGGGCCUGGCCCGGCGGCGGCUCCUCUGCGGUGCUGAGGUCGCCCUAGAGGGCUGCGUCCCGGGAUGCCCGGGACCCUCAUGGCCUGGUGACUCGAGGCCCUCUCCUUGCCAGCUCCUCUCCACCCCGCAGACGGUCUUUUUGAUGUCCUUUAGUGAAGUUUUACCAUUUUGUCCCUGGCAUUUUGGACAACACUUGAUGGCCAUUGUUGCAUGCAUGGUAUGUAGAGUUGUGUCCCUCAUUUCAUUUCAUUUCAUUUCAUUUCAUUU